ensembl:ncRNA F46H5.10 ncRNA
GUCUGUUGAGGCUGCGCUGAUUGUUCGACGUAUGGUGCAGGUUUUGGUGGUGGCGGUGGCGGCGGUGGUUGGGGAGUUGUUGCAGCUGGAGCACUCUCUGGAUAAGUCGUUUGACUUUUGUACUCUUCAGCGGCAGUUGCCAGCUGA